rnacentral:rRNA from 1 species
UACGGAGGGGACUAGCGUUGUUCGGAAUUACUGGGCGUAAAGCGCACGUAGGCGGAUUUGUAAGUCAGGGGUGAAAUCCCGGGGCUCAACCUCGGAAUUGCCUUCGAUACUGUCUGUCUUGAGUCCGGGAGAGGUGAGUGGAAUUCCUAGUGUAGAGGUGAAAUUCGUAGAUAUUAGGAAGAACACCAGUGGCGAAGGCGGCUCACUGGCCCGGUACUGACGCUCAGGUGCGAAAGCGUGGGGAGCAAACAGG